rnacentral:rRNA from 1 species
ACGAACGCUGGCGGCGUGCCUAACACAUGCAAGUCGAGCGGAGUAUGUAGCAAUAUAUACUUAGCGGCGGACGGGUGAGUAACACGUGGGUAACCUGACCUACAGAGGGGGAUAGCCAUCCGAAAGGGUGAUUAAUACCGCAUAAACCGUAGCGUACGCAUGUACGAAACGGCAAAGAGAUAUCGCUGUAGGAGGGGCCCGCGGCCCAUUAGCUGGUUGGAGAGGUAAAGGCUCACCAAGGCGACGAUGGGUAGCCGAUCUGAGAGGAUGACCGGCCACAUUGGAACUGAGACACGGUCCAGACUCCUACGGGAGGCAGCAGUGGGGAAUAUUGCGCAAUGGGGGAAACCCUGACGCAGCAACGCCGCGUGGAGGAAGAAGGCCUUCGGGUCGUAAACUCCUGUCUUUUGGGACGAAAGGAUGACGGUACCAAAGGAGGAAGCCACGGCUAACUACGUGCCAGCAGCCGCGGUAAUACGUAGGUGGCAAGCGUUGUCCGGAAUUACUGGGCGUAAAGGGUGCGUAGGCGGUAUAUUAAGUCAGAUGUGAAAACCCAGGGCUCAACUCUGGGAGUGCAUUUGAAACUGGUAUACUGGAGUGCAGGAGAGGGAAGCGGAAUUCCUGGUGUAGCGGUGAAAUGCGUAGAUAUCAGGAAGAACACCAGUGGCGAAGGCGGCUUUCUGGACUGUAACUGACGCUGAGGCACGAAAGCGUGGGGAGCAAACAGGAUUAGAUACCCUGGUAGUCCACGCUGUAAACGAUGAGUGUUAGGUGUAGGGGGAGAAGUCCUUCUGUGCCGCAGUAAACGC